UACAGUGACGCAGCGAAUAGUGUUUUGUUAUUAUAAAGCGAACUCCACAACUGCAUUUUAUUUCGAUACGGCUUUGCAAAGUUGAAUGAAGACUGCUGCUAGGUGAUAUGUAAAGAAAUUGAAGUUGCUGAUGGAAGCGGAGAAAAGGAAACUAAUUUUGAGCACCCACACAGACAAUCCAACGUGGACUGGCUCGAAAAUUGCAAAAUCGCUGAAGUUAGCUAAAUCUACCGUGUGCGGUGUUCUCAAACGCUUCCGUGAGCAGAAAACUGUUGUUCGGAAGGAUCACAGCAAGCGUCGCAGUGGAACAUACGAUCGACACCUGCAUCGUAAGGUACUGAAGACAAUAAGGGCAAACCCAGGACUCUCGGAUGGUGACAUUGCCAAAAAAUACAAUUCAAACAAAAGCACCGUCCGAAGGAUCCGUCUACGUGAAGGUUUUUGUUCCGAUCGCGGCCAGUUCAAGAUCAAGUUACCAAAACUAGAAAAACGGAAACGAGUGGCCAAAUUUCAAGAGUGUGAGAACGAGGAGGAAGUUAAGCAUAAACAACAUCAAAACGAACGGUAUACUCCACCGACGACGACGAAAUAGAUUUCUAAUGUCGUUUUCGCUUGAUGCCAAACCUAACCCAGUUUUCACCCUAACUGCUGUCAAACCGUUUGUUUGAAGCUAGUUUCGAACCUAGUUUUAACGUUGUUGAACUGAAAAUCGAGUCAGUUUCGAACCUGGUUGUUAUAUCAGGUUUGCUCAAACCCCCGUUGCUAAGUGCGAAAUCAACACAGUUUCGUGAGAAGUGUUUGUUUGAUGAAACUACCCUGGGUCAGUUUCAGUUUUCUCAAGCGAAAACGACAUAAUAUAGGUCGCGUGCGGGAACAUGAUGCCAGCUUGCUGUGAUUUCUUUCCAAUUCUAUUUCAUUUUUUUCGAAGAGAAAAUGCCAUGUUUUGGAUAUGUAAUAUUAUCACUACGGAAUAUUACUGUAACUAUAACCUAUAAUUAGAGUGACGACUUCUCAUCCGUAAUGUUGGCAACAAUUCAUAACAUUCCAUUAGCUUUGCAUUGAAUUGACAGGUCGUUUGCUCGUUUGGCACUGGUAGCUGUCAUUCCAAACAAACAGCUGUCGUCACUCGGAUUAUAGUCACUCUAAUUUUUGUGUUUAAAGAUGGAACAUUUCCAGCUUUCGAUAUAUUACAAUAUACAUUAUAAGAGCAAAUUCAGCAGCUGCAAGAUUCACAUGGGUGGUCUAUAAUGUAAAUGAAACUGAAACAAACGUAUCCCCAGCAAUCCGUUUUAGUUUUAUUUAUUCGACCAGUUCUACUGUCAAAUUUAAAACUGGUAUACAUUGCCGUUCUAUUUUUUGUAUAUUUGAAACACGAAUAAAACACUGCUGGGGCUGCCAGUUUUUCUUGUUAUAUAAUCCAGAUUUAAAUUUUAAAACUGACAUAAAUUAUGCAUCUAGAACUAGAACACUCCUGAAUAUGCCCUAAAUUUAUGAAAUUAAAGUAUACAAAAGUCGUCAUAAUAUGACCAAAGGUCGCAUUAGUGCCUGUGUCGUGUAGGUUUUUCUAAAGUUCUGGUUGAUUUGUUUUCAACACAGCACUCCCAAUCUAAUCACUGAAGUUUCUCUAUAUAUUUCUAUUUGCAAUUAGUAUACCAGUAAAAAUUAAUUUGUUGAUAUUUUCAAAACUAGGUCGUUUUAGAAUAUUUGAGUAAUUUGUAUAUAACCAAUUACUGUGAUAUGGAAAAAUUCUUGAAGUUUGUUUUUUGCCAAACUAACCAUUAGAGUUUCGAAGAAAUUCUAUAGUAUAUCCUUGUAUGAGUCAAAUUAUAUUGAACCGUGAUAUUAUCACUACGGAAUAUUAUUUUUUAUGUAUACCGGAGAAAAUUCUCUGCUAGUCGUCAUCAUAUGACCAAAGGUCGUAUGAGUGUGUAUAAAAAACCAAUAACUGUUUUUGCCUCUUUAAAGCAAUUUCUAUUUAAACAUGCACAAGAGAAAUGAAAGACAUACGACUUACAAUUUGCAAAUUGAAUGAAUAAGAAUACAUAAAAAGUCGUCAUCAUAUGACCAAAGGUCGCAUGAGUGUAAAUAUUAUCACUGUAAGUUCUUCUUAAGUCCUAUUUCUAUUAUUUUUAAGACCAACAAACCAAGGACUUAAAUAACCUCCUUUUGAGCAGUAAGUAUUUCAUAAGAAGAGUUCACCAACUCUAAGAUUUUCCAUUUAUUAAACAACUGAGAACAUUUUGGACAACUCCAAUAGUCUUGUUCUCCCGGUUAAUGCUCGAGUUGCACGCAUGGUUGGUGAAACCAACGAACGCACUCCUCGGAACACGCCAUUGAAUCUAUAUUAUCUGGUUCGUCA